rnacentral:misc_RNA from 1 species
AAGUCGUAACAAGGUAUCCGUAGGUGAACCUGCGGAUGGAUCAUUACCAAUUUAUAUGUGUCGCUGCUCCUGUUUCGGCGGGGGGUAUGCGUACACAAACACCUCAAUGUAAACCGUUGAACCUUCUUACCUACCUUUGUAACACGUGGUUGACUGGAGGGGGUGCCUAUGCAUCUUCCAAUAGCAACCACCUGUUGCAUAUACCAUCAUAUAUACUACUCGUAUAUACUACCAACCAAACAAUCAAACAAACAAACUAUAUGAUUUUACUUAUAGGCUGAGUGGGUAACACCCUUAGCUUUAAUAAAAUAACAUAAUACAACUUUCAGCAAUGGAUCUCUAGGCUCUC